rnacentral:tRNA from 1 species
UCCCCGAUAGCUCAAUUGGUAGAGCGGCUGGCUGUUAACCAGUAGGUUGUAGGUUCGAGUCCUACUCGGGGAG